GGAACAUGAGCACGUUGAGGAGAGCAGAAAGGGAGCGUGAGCAGGUUGUGUAAUGGAGGGAGACAGGGUUACGCAGUCUGAUUGCUACAUCCAGGAAAGCAAGCUGAUUAUACAUCAUUCUUUCCAGGAACGCUCCCCAGAAAUCCCAGGACAAAAUGAGAUGCAGACACAAGGGAACAAGCUUCACUGCUAUCUAUCAGCUCGGAUAAGGAAAAGCUCCUUUCAGCCUGACACUGACAGCUUAAUGAAAUGGAGGCAAAGAUGCAUGCAGAUGAGAGAAAGACUGAUAUGGCAUUUUCACAGACUUCAAAGACGUUCCUGUGUGGCAUAG
rnacentral:lncRNA from 1 species